UGGGGAAUUUUGGACAAUGGGGGAAACCCUGAUCCAGCCAUCCCGCGUGUGCGAUGAAGGCCUUCGGGUUGUAAAGCACUUUUGGCAGGAAAGAAACGUCAUGGGUUAAUACCCCGUGAAACUGACGGUACCUGCAGAAUAAGCACCGGCUAACUACGUGCCAGCAGCCGCGGUAAUACGUAGGGUGCAAGCGUUAAUCGGAAUUACUGGGCGUAAAGCGUGCGCAGGCGGUUCGGAAAGAAAGAUGUGAAAUCCCAGAGCUCAACUUUGGAACUGCAUUUUUAACUACCGGGCUAGAGUGUGUCAGAGGGAGGUGGAAUUCCGCGUGUAGCAGUGAAAUGCGUAGAUAUGCGGAGGAACACCGAUGGCGAAGGCAGCCUCCUGGGAUAACACUGACGCUCAUGCACGAAAGCGUGGGGAGCAAACAAG
rnacentral:rRNA from 1 species